rnacentral:rRNA from 1 species
ACUGCUCAGUAACACGUGGCUAACCUGCCCUUGGGAUCGGAACACCCCCGGGAAACUGGGGCUAAUUCUCAAUAGGCGAAGAACUCUGGAAUGAGUCUUCACCAAAAAGAAACCUAAGUUAUGCUCUUAGGUCUCGCCCAAGGAUGGGGCCGCGACCGAUCAGGUUGUUGGUGAGGUAAUGGCUCACCAAGCCUUUUACCGGUGCGGGCCGUGGGAGCGGGAGCCCGGAGAUGGGCACUGAGACAAGGGCCCAGGCCCUACGGGGCGCAGCAGUCGCGAAAACUUUGCAAUAAGCGAAAGCUUGACAGGGCUAUCCCGAGUGCCAUCCGCUGAGGAAGGCUUUUACCCAGUCUAGAACGCUGGGGGAAUAAGGAGAGGGCAAGUCUGGUGUCAGCCGCCGCGGUAAUACCAGCUCUCCGAGUGGUGUGGAUGUUUAUUGGGCCUAAAGCAUCCGUAGCUGGCUAGGUUAGUCCCCUGUUAAAUCCACCGAAUUAAUCGUUGGAUUGCGGGGGAUACUGCUUGGCUAGGGGACGAGAGAGGCAGACGGUAUUUUCGGGGUAGGGGUGAAAUCCUAUAAUCCCGGGAAGACCACCAGUGGCGAAGGCUGUCUGCUAGAACGCGCCCGACGGUGAGGGAUGAAAGCUGGGGGAGCGAACCGGAUUAGAUACCCGGGUAGUCCCAGCUGUAAACGAUGCAGGCUAGGUGUUUGGACGGCCACGUGCCGUUCUAGUGCCGCAGGGAAGCUGUUAAGCCUGCCGCCUGGGGAGUACGAUCGCAAGAUUGAAACUUAAAGGAAUUGGCGGGGGAGCAC